rnacentral:rRNA from 1 species
AGGUUAAGCUAAUAAGAGCACACGGAGGAUGCCUAGGCGCCAGGAGCCGACGAAGGACGUGGCGAACAACGAAACUGCCUCGGGGAGCUGUAAGCAAGCUUUGAUCCGGGGGUGUCCGAAUGGGGAAACCCAGCUGUGGUAAUUCGCAGUUACUCAUUUCUGAAUACAUAGGAAAUGUAGAGGCAGACCAGGGGAACUGAAACAUCUAAGUACCCUGAGGAAGAGAAAACAAUAGUGAUUCCGUCAGUAGCGGCGAGCGAACGCGGAUCAGCCUAAACCUAAGAGCUUGCUCUUAGGGGUUGUGGGACGUCUCACAUGGAGUUACAAAGGAAUAUGGUAGGUGAAGAGGUCUGGAAAGGCCCGCGAUAGAGGUAAAAGCCCUGUAACCUAAACUGUAUUCUCUCCGAGACGGAUCCCGAGUAGUGCGGGGCACGUGAAACCCCGUAUGAAUCCAGCAGGACCAUCUGCUAAGGCUAAAUACUACCUGGCGACCGAUAGUGAAACAGUACCGUGAGGGAAAGGUGAAAAGCACCCCGGAAGGGGAGUGAAAUAGAACCUGAAACCGUGUGCUUACAAAAAGUCAGAGCCCGAUCUAUGGGUGAUGGCGUGCCUUUUGUAGAAUGAACCGGCGAGUUACGUUUAACAUGCAAGGUUAAGCCGAGAAGGUGGAGCCGCAGCGAAAGCGAGUCUGAA